CUCGCCUACGGGACGCAGCAGUGGGGAAUAUUGGGCAAUGGGCGCAAGCCUGACCCAGCAACGCCGCGUGAAGGAAGAAGGCUUUCGGGUUGUAAACUUCUUUUCUCAGGGACGAAGAAAGUGACGGUACCUGAGGAAUAAGCCACGGCUAACUACGUGCCAGCAGCCGCGGUAAUACGUAGGUGGCAAGCGUUAUCCGGAUUUACUGGGUGUAAAGGGCGUGUAGGCGGGAAAGCAAGUCAGAUGUGAAAACCACGG
rnacentral:rRNA from 1 species